UAGUUAGUGAUAAGAUACAACAUAUUAAUACUUCUCCAAGAAACACAAGGCAUAAUAAUACUUCUCAAAGAUACACAUCUAUUGAUUGUUUAACAAGAGCCGCCAGCAUAGAGUCCACAUUCAUAAAUACCCGUCCAAAAACAAACCACAAAACAUACAUAUAAAACUACAAACAUACUUCAGUUUUCCGCUUUUCUACACAAACCUACAUAAAUACGGGCACUCUACGUCCAUAUUCAUAAAUACCUGGCAAAAUACCUGUGGUGGUACAAUGUGGUACAACACGGCUUCUUCGGAUAGUUUUUUUACACACCCCUACAUAAAUACGGGCAAUCUGAGGGAUCUGAGGGCUCCGAGGGCUCCGAGAAGACUCGCAAGUAGAACCAAUACUUUGUUCUGACACUGAUUCGGCUAUCGGAAAAUAUAGACUGUGUUCAUCGGGUACAAGAUCUGAUGUGUGACUGGAUAAAAAUAUAUUUUGUUACUAAUAAUUAUAUUACUCGUGAUUAUAUUUUGAUACUAAAGUA